rnacentral:tRNA from 1 species
GCCUGGGUGGCUCAGUUGGUUGAGCAUCUGACUUCGGCUCAGGCUAUGAUCUCACAGCUCGUGAGUUCGAGCCCCGUGUCAGGCU